GGCCUUGUGGCCUAAUGGUAAGGCGUUAGAUGUCGGUUGGAAUUUCUCUAAAGAUUGCAGGUUCGAAUCCUGUCGGGGUCG